rnacentral:tRNA from 1 species
GCGGCCGUAGCUCAGUCUGGAUAGAGUACUUGACUACGAAUCAAGAUGUCGCAGGUUCGAAUCCUGCCGGCCGCGCCA